rnacentral:lncRNA from 1 species
CGCAAAUCUUACGUCACUUCCUCUCUUUGCCAGCAUUGCGACAUUCAAUAUAUUUGAAUGAUGCGCUUAGCGCCCAGUUAGCUUCUAGCAUUUCUCGACAGCUCUGCCUCAUUUUCGACUGCCCGGGACAUUUAAACAAUGGAUGUAUACAAGCAAAUUCAUGCUUUUCUCCUCAAUGGAGAGCUUCCCCCGACUGAAGACCUGCGCCGUAAAAUAAGGAGAAUGGCACCUAAUUACAAACUGAAGGACAACAGACUCUUCUACACUGGCCCCAGUAUGCAGUGCAUGCGCUUGGUAGUCAUGUCAGAGGAGGAGAAGAAGUCAGUUCUGAUGGAAUGCCACAAUAACCCUGGUACCGGGAAUCACAAUGGUGUUAGAGGUACCCUCUUAAAUCCAAGACUGCAGCUGAGGUCUCUGCAAUCAUGACCUCUAAGUUAUACACGUUUGGCAUGGUCAGGAAAAUCAUCACUGACCAAGGAAAGGAGUUUGUGAACCAGGUAAAACUUGUGAAAGUGUUAUUCAUGCCUUGAUAUGAUAUGAUAUGAUGUAUUUAGGCCAAGUUUGCUCAUGUCACUGCAGCUCAACAACAGCAUUUUCAGCAUGCUGAAUAUUAAACAUGCUGUCUCCAGUGCGUAUCACCCCCAGACCAACGGGCAGGUAAGCAUUUGGAUAGCUAACCUUGAGUCACUCAUGUGAAAUCAGUCAUGCUUAUUCAUCUAUUCUACAAUAAAACUCAAAGGAUGAGAGGACCAACCAGAACAUCAAGCGUGCUCUCAGAAAGUAUGUUAACCAGAACCAUG